UAAAUGUAGAGGUGCAUUUUGCAUGAGUAGUGUCGGGGAUAUGGCAGGCAUAGAUGAUCCGGCAUGAAAGGGUACGAUGCCGAAGAAGUAUAUGUCUUUGCACAUAUCCUUCUGGGCAUAUGGUUAAGAGCCAUAUGACUGUCAUCGUAAGAUGGAGUGCUGCUUU
rnacentral:ncRNA from 1 species